rnacentral:piRNA from 1 species
CUGAACUUAAGAUGGAGGCAAGAAAACUGA